rnacentral:lncRNA from 1 species
UAACAUACCACAUCCAAUACAAUUCAAACAAUUCACAUUUCAACUUGUAAUUCAAUACACUUUCCAUACAAAACUCAAUUCUAUAAACCAUUCAAUUCAAUUCCAUGGCCUUUCAAUACAUUCCCAUACAACCAAUACAUUCAAACUUGCCAUUGCAAAUUAAUACAAUACACACUUUCAAUACAACUUUCCAUUAAAAUCCUAUAUUCCAUAAACUACAAUUUUCCAUAACUCAAUCCCAUUCACAAUACACAAAUUCUAUGCUAAACAUUAGUCCUAAAAUUCCCUUUUGAUUCUUCACAACAGCUUCACUUCAAUUUCACAAAGCUCAUGACAAAAAACUCCAAGCUAAGUUUCCACUUGCAAGCUUGUUCAACAGACCAAAUAGCAGGACUCCACAUACAUAAUAGUCCACACAUUGAACCUACAAACAUAUUUCCUACUGACUUUAACAGGGAAAAAUAAUGAAUCACUGCAUACAUGAUAGAAAAUUCAGCAGAUCAAUCCACCCUUCAAAAUUCAAAAUGCAACAGAGCACACAAUUGAAAUGACCUGCAUACUUUCACCAUGCACAUUUUUUACAUGGAGCACACCAAGUGAAGAUCCUGCAUAACGAUUACACCUGUAGAAAUUCAUUCAACAGAUCAUUUAAACUCACUAACAAAAUUCUGCAUAAUUCAGAAAACAAUGCACCCUGCACAAAUUGAAGACCACAAUAACUAACCAACAGAUGCAACAUAGAGAAUCCAAUUAAAACUAACUCAUUUUCACUCAUUCAAACUCUAAUAGAUUUUAUGCAUUUCUACCACAUCGAUGUGAAUUUCAGAUAAAUUCCAUUUCCAUUUCUAAUAUAAAUUUGAAGGACCUAAAAGCUAUAAAUACAUCUCACUCUUCACUCAUUCGAGGAUCACGAUUCAUUUUCACUCUUUUCAGAUUUUUGAGAUUCAAUCUUCAUCUCAGAAACUCUAUUCACCCUCACAUAGAGCUCUCAGAAUAAUCCAUUAAAGCUUCACAUCGAAGCUUCAAUAGAGUAGAGCAUAGCCUUCACUCAAUUCAAUCCCUCUCGAUUACCUUCCAUUACAUCCAUAUCUCAAUUGCAGAAGAAGUUUCAGCAGAAAAAGAGAAUCAAAGGAGGAAGAUAUGAUCAAGAAUUACCUGGUUCAAGUGAUUUCCCGUCGCAACUUCAUUUUCUGCAAUUCAAGUUCGUCGGAACAAAUAUUCAUUUCUGAGGUAAAUACUCUUCUUCUCCGUUUAUCACGAUCUUGUUACCA